AAGUCGUAACAAGGUUUCCGUAGGUGAACCUGCGGAAGGAUCAUUACUGAAAGAAACUAUUUUAGUUUUUUUUCAUCCAUCUCCCUUUGUUAAUUGAAUCCAUAUUUUUUCUUCCACCAGACAGUGUUCCCUUUUUAUUUUUUUUUCUAAAAAGGAAACCCUCGGGCUUGAGUAGAUUUUUCCCUCUAUUCUUGUCAGGGAGUGCUGGUGGUAAGACUCCUCUUUCCAAAACUUUUGUUAUAAAUAAAUUGUCUGACAAAAACUUUCUUAAAUGAAAUAAAACUUUCAACAACGGAUCUCUAGGCUCUU
rnacentral:misc_RNA from 1 species